ACACUCGACGACUCCGCAUCUUUAAUCAUUCUCGCUCCCGAAACCAUCCCCAAGCUUAAUCACCGGAUUUAAUAGUGGCGACGAGGACAAUCGGUAGCGGUGCAGAAGGUUUAAACUGACCGCAGCGAAGGAAACCAGCUCUGGACUAUCUCGGCACCAGAAUUCAACAAAAAUAAAAAACGAGUGGCAUCAGGCUGUGCAGGUUUGCGCUGCAACAAUCGGCUUUGCAGCAGGGAGUGUCAUUCCGUUCCACCGGGAGGUUUUGUGUUGCUUAUUCGUUGGCAUCGAGUUAAGAGUCGUGAUCAUGGUUGAACACAAGGAGAUAACCACCGUCCAUCCAAUUCAACUCAGAGUCGUUAACGAUGGACGCGGCAUGCCAAGGCGAUCGAUGCGUGUUGUCGAGACUGGUCGGCCGGUACUGACUGAUGAUUAUGACGACA